CGGGUGAGUAACGCGUGGAUAACCUGCCUCACACAGGGGAGUAACAGUUAGAAAUGACUGCUAAUACCGCAUAAGCGCACGGUACCGCAUGGUACAGUGUGAAAAACUCCGGUGGUGUGAGAUGGAUCCGCGUCUGAUUAGGUAGUUGGUGAGGUAACGGCCCACCAAGCCGACGAUCAGUAGCCGACCUGAGAGGGUGAUCGGCCACAUUGGGACUGAGACACGGCCCAA
rnacentral:rRNA from 1 species